GAUCCUGGCUCAGGAUGAACGCUGGCGGCGUGCUUAACACAUGCAAGUCGAACGAGGAAUUUUAAAUGAGGCUUCGGUGGAUUUUGAAAUUCUUAGUGGCGGACGGGUGAGUAACGCGUGGGCAAUCUGCCCUGUACAGGGGGACAACAGCUGGAAACGGCUGCUAAUACCGCAUAAGCGCACAGCAUCGCAUGGUGCCGUGUGAAAAACUCCGGUGGUACAGGAUGGGCCCGCGUUGGA
rnacentral:rRNA from 1 species